rnacentral:piRNA from 3 species
GUUAGCACUCUGGACUCUGAAUC